rnacentral:rRNA from 1 species
AACGAACGCUGGCGGCAGGCCUAAUACAUGCAAGUCGAACGCACCGCAAGGUGAGUGGCAGACGGGUGAGUAACGCGUGGGAACCUUCCUAGUAGUACGGAAUAACUUCGGGAAAACGUAGCUAAUACCGUAUAAGCCCUCCGGGGGAAAGAUUUAUCGCUACUAGAUGGGCCCGCGUCGGGUUAGCUAGUUGGUGAGGUAAUGGCCCACCAAGGCGACGAUCCGUAGCUGGUCUGAGAGGAUGAUCAGCCACACUGGGACUGAGACACGGCCCAGACUCCUACGGGAGGCAGCAGUAGGGAAUAUUGGACAAUGGGCGAAAGCCUGAUCCAGCCAUGCCGCGUGAGUGAAGAAGGCCUUAGGGUUGUAAAGCUCUUUUGGCGGGGAAGAUAAUGACGGUACCCGCAGAAUAAGCCCCGGCUAACUUCGUGCCAGCCGCCGCCGUAACAC